GGGGUAAUGGCUCAGUUGGUAGAGCGCAUCCUUAGCAUGUAGCAAUUGGAUGAGGUCCCGUGUUCGAUUCGCGGUUACUCCA
rnacentral:tRNA from 1 species